GACGAACGCUGGCGGCGUGCUUAACACAUGCAAGUCGAACGAGUGGCGAACGGGUGAGUAAUACGUGAGUAACCUGCCCUCUUUUUGGGAUAAGCCUUGGAAACGGGGUCUAAUACCGGAUAAAGGGGGAUGGGCUCGCGGCCUAUCAGCUUGUUGGUGGGGUGAUGGCCUACCAAGGCGGUGACGGGUAGCCGGCCUGAGAGGGUGAUCGGCAACAUUGGGACUGGGAGACGGCCCAGAGUCCUACGGGGGGUAGAAGUGGGCGAUAUUGCACAAUGGGUGAAAGCCUGAUGCAGCGACGCCGCGUGGGGGAUGAAGGCUUUCGGGUUGUAAACCUCUUUCGCGAUCGAAAGGGUAGGUGGAGAAGAAGCGCCGGCUAACUACGUGCCAGCAGCCGCGGUAAUUC
rnacentral:rRNA from 1 species